GACGAACGCUGGCGGCGUGCUUAACACAUGCAAGUCGAACGGAGUGGCGAACGUGUGAGUAAAACGUGGGGGAUCUGCCUUGUACUUCGGGAUAAGGUUGGGACACUGGGUCGAAUACCGAAUAGUGCAAGAUGAGCCCGCUGCCUAUCAGCUUGUUGGUGGGGUAAUGGCCUACCAAGGCGUCGACGGGUAGCCGGCCUGUGAGGGUGUACGGCCACAUUGGGCCUGAGGUACGGACCCGACGCCUACGGGUGGCAGCAGUGGGGGUUAUUGCCCAAUGAGCGUGAGCCGUAUGCUGCGACCCCGCGUGGGGGAUGUAGGCCUUCGGGUUGUGAACUCCUUUGCACAGGGACGCGGUACCUGUAUAAGAAGCACCGGCUAACUACGUGCCAGCAGCCGCGGUAAUAC
rnacentral:rRNA from 1 species